rnacentral:rRNA from 1 species
AUUGAACGCUGGCGGCAUGCUUUACACAUGCAAGUCGUACGGUAACAGGCCGCAAGGUGCUGACGAGUGGCGAACGGGUGAGUAAUGCGUCGGAACGUGCCCAGUCGUGGGGGAUAACGCAGCGAAAGCUGCGCUAAUACCGCAUACGUUCUGUGGAUGAAAGCGGGGGACCUUCGGGCCUCGCGCGAUUGGAGCGGCCGAUGUCAGAUUAGGUAGUUGGUGGGGUAAAGGCUCACCAAGCCGACGAUCUGUAGAUGGUCGGAGAGGACGACCAGCCACACUGGGACUGAGACACGGCCCAGACUGCUACGGGAGGCAGCAGUGGGGAAUAUUGGACAAUGAGCGCAGGCCUGAUCCAGCAAUGCCGCGUGUGUGAAGAAGGCCUUCGGGUUGUAAAGCACUUUAGCCUGGAAAGAAAAAACGUUGGUUAACACCCAAAGUCUUGACGGUAACAGGAGAAUAAGCACCGGCUAACUCUGUGCCAGCAGCCGCCGUAAGAC